rnacentral:lncRNA from 1 species
UACCGCAAGUAGAUAUGUAUAUUCAGCUCCACUGCACAUUCAACAGAUAUAGUUCAGCAGCCAAGAAUAAACAGUAUACAAUGUAGAUCCUGCUGCGUAUAAUCAGAUCAUUCAUGUUAAGAAACCAAACUGUAUUGGUGAAUGUGAAAACAACUAUGUGCUUCCCCAUAUUGUUGGUGCUCAAACAGGACUUCAAGCUUUAUAAGCAAAUCAGAUAACCAUAUGAAGGAACAGUAUAUGUCAUAAAAAAGCAUACCUGGUGCUGAGUAAAAGAUAAUGUGAAUAUGUGAUAAACAACAAAACUUAAGAACUCAGAGCCAGAGAAUAUUCUAAAGCCCCAAUUCCUCCUGCCAGCAGUCAAAAUACUAUUCUCACAAUGCCGGGGAAGAAUCCGGGUCAGCAUAAACCAAGGAUCAGAAUUAUCUGUAAAACCAAAUACCCUUUCUGGCCUCAUCAUCGUUCAAAACAAAUUCCAAAACAUCAGCAGCCAAAAUUCGAGCUAACGCUGGCCAAACAGGCUGUUGGGCACAGAUAGUAAAAUUCAUGGAGACGGACGGGAGACGGUAGACCCGAUAGGCACCCCUGGCGUCGCCAGCAGAAAUCCAAUGCC